rnacentral:rRNA from 1 species
AAAUAAAUCAAAACUUUCAACAACGGAUCUCUUGGUUCUGGCAUCGAUGAAGAACGCAGCGAAAUGCGAUAAGUAAUGUGAAUUGCAGAAUUCAGUGAAUCAUCGAAUCUUUGAACGCACAUUGCGCCCUCUGGUAUUCCAGAGGGCAUGCCUGUUCGA